UACGGAGGAUGCAAGCGUUGUCCGGAAUCAUUGGGCGUAAAGAGCUCGUAGCGGUCUGUUGCGUCCGCUGUGAAAACUCGGGGCUUAACCCCGAGCCUGCAGUGGAUACGGGCAGACUAGAGGUAGGUAGGGGAGAAUGGAAUUCCCGGUGUAGCGGUGAAAUGCGCAGAUAUCGGGGGGAACACCGGUGGCGAAGGCGGUUCUCUGGGCCUUACCUGACGCUGAGGAGCGAAAGCGUGGGGAGCGAACAGG
rnacentral:rRNA from 1 species